CUUAUCAUGCAGUCGAGCGAACAGAAGGGAGCUUGCUCCCGGAUGUUAGCGGCGGACGGGUGAGUAACACGUGGGUAACCUGCCUGUAAGACUGGGAUAACUCCGGGAAACCGGAGCUAAUACCGGAUAGUUCCUUGAACCGCAUGGUUCAAGGAUGAAAGACGGUUUCGGCUGUCACUUACAGAUGGACCCGCGGCGCAUUAGCUAGUUGGUGGGGUAAUGGCUCACCAAGGCGACGAUGCGUAGCCGACCUGAGAGGGUGAUCGGCCACACUGGGACUGAGACACGGCCCAGACUCCUACGGGAGGCAGCAGUAGGGAAUCUUCCGCAAUGGACGAAAGUCUGACGGAGCAACGCCGCGUGAGUGAUGAAGGUUUUCGGAUCGUAAAGCUCUGUUGUUAGGGAAGAACAAGUGCGAGAGUAACUGCUCGCACCUUGACGGUACCUAACCAGAAAGCCACGGCUAACUACGUGCCAGCAGCCGCGGUAAUACGUAGGUGGCAAGCGUUGUCCGGAAUUAUUGGGCGUAAAGGGCUCGCAGGCGGUUUCUUAAGUCUGAUGUGAAAGCCCCCGGCUCAACCGGGGAGGGUCAUUGGAAACUGGGAAACUUGAGUGCAGAAGAGGAGAGUGGAAUUCCACGUGUAGCGGUGAAAUGCGUAGAGAUGUGGAGGAACACCAGUGGCGAAGGCGACUCUCUGGUCUGUAACUGACGCUGAGGAGCGAAAGCGUGGGGAGCGAACAGGAUUAGAUACCCUGGUAGUCCACGCCGUAAACGAUGAGUGCUAAGUGUUAGGGGGUUUCCGCCCCUUAGUGCUGCAGCUAACGCAUUAAGCACUCCGCCUG
rnacentral:rRNA from 1 species